AAUCUUCUUAAGCCCAAUAUUCUUCUUGGGAUUGGUGGUAAAAAGGGACCUCAAUUCCCCUAUAUAUACACACCCUCUUCAUCUCCUGAACCUACACCACUUCUCUCUACCCCUUUGGCCUCUCUCUCUCUCACAAAACCUUUCAAUCUACCACUUCUUUCCUUUUAUUUUCACAGUCUUGGCAUUUCUUUUUAGGGUUUUGUUUUGAUUGGCUUGAAGCUUCUAAAGCAUCUCUCUCUCUCUCUCUCUCUCUAUCUUAUCUACUAGUCUGUUGCCCUAUGAGAUGGUCCUCUUUGUAUUCUUCCACAGCUUUCUUGAACUGCAGCUACGAGCUAGGCUCAGACUUUGCAUGCGUUAAGAGACUUAUUAUUUUUUCUCUUAUUUUGUUUUUCUUGGUUGCGGUUCAAUAAAGCUGUGGGAAGAUACAGACAGGGUCAAGAAAAGUUCAAGAUCGGUUCUGUUGGUAUUGAUAUAAUCUCCAUCUACCCUUUUCCAUUGCAUUCCCUGAUCUGUUAAUUCCUUUGGAUCCACUGUUCCUCGUCACACAGUACUCAGAAAGCAGGAAGUUUUAUAUAAGUGUAAAUCUCUGAACUGUUAUACUUCAAAUGUCUUUGUAUGAAAAUACAAAAUUCACAUGACAUUCCAAUAAAAAAGAAGAUAUUCAAUCUGAAAUACACACAGAUGUGAUAUUUUCAUUUCCCUGAUUCAGUUUUCAUAGUUUUUUUUCCACCUUGUAUUCUUUCUAUAUGCAAAAUUUUAAUAUACAAGUUAUAAAAAUUUCAACUUUAUAUAUUAACAGAGAAUAUAAUUUCAGAUAUAAUAGAAUUGAGAAAAAUAAUACAUGGAAAAAACCCUAACUAAUGUGUUAAAGAUCCAUGGCUGAGCCCAAAAUUUGGGAUCAAGAUUCAUUGUUGCUGUUGUAUAUCAGAACUCAACUCAUUUACUUGGGUGUAACGAUUUUGUUGGAGCUUUAAUUAUAAGGCUCAAUUUGUAUGUUUCUGUUCCUACAGACUGAGCGUAUAAUUGUCAAAUCUUUUUUCUUCUUUGUGUCCCUACUACUCUGGAAAUGUCUUGGAUAAGUAGUUUCUUUUUUAUUUGUACUUUACAGACAUUACGAUUCCCUGAGUAUUGUAUUUUCCUCUUGUCUAUAUCCUUUUCUUUCUGUCCUUCUGUUUCUAUUGUUUAUUAUGAUCAAUGGUGGGGUUUCUUUUAUAAUUGUUUUGUCUGGCUUUAUAGUGUGCCCAUGUGUAGGUUCAAUUGCAGGCCAAGCAUAAAUACUACUUGCAGAUCAAUCGAACAGCGAUCACCUUUUUUUAAAAAAAAAUACCAUGCUAUAUAGACCAGUUGAUCGGUACAUAUUUGGUCAACAAGGUAAAAGUCAUUAUGUUUAUACAAAGUGCAGCCAGAAUUAUUAGCCUUUUUUAAUAGAUUCCUACCUACAGAUUCAUUUAUGGCUAUCAUGUCAUUUGCGAGUUACUAUUAUUUAUUGUAGUUCUGUUAUUUAGCAUCCGAUUUUUUUUUUUUUGGAUCGAAUCACUGUUCUUUGUACACUUAAUAAGUCGUACAAUUAUUUUUCCGUUGGUUUGUCAAGUUUAAUGUAGUUAAACUUGAUUAGGGUUCUUUUUUAAACUUCUUUUUUAACACUAGAAAGAGCAAUAUGAGAUUUUGUUCGAGUAAUAGUUAGAAGGAAUAAAUAGUAAAUGUUAGAAUGGACCACACAAAGUUUUACACAAUUGUGUUUUAAGCAAACCUUUAAAGCCAAUAAAAUGAAAAUUAAGUGGUUAGGUGAAGCUUUUAUGAACAAAGAAUACAGGUAAGAUGUUGUACAGUUGUGUUGAAUUGCCUUUGAGAGAAGAAACCUAGACAAGAGUAGAAUGAAGAAGCGACUUGUAAAUGGAAAUUAGGGUUUUCUUUUCCUAACUGAGGUAAAGACAAGUGGAAGGGAAAGUUCCUCUUGUUCACUGCAAGAAACAUCUUGUCUUGCUGCUUAAGGCUGAGAUGUUUUUGGAUCAGAUCCUGGUUUUUUUCAUGUAUCUAUAGGAGUGAAUCUCGCAUGGUCCAAACUAAGUGCCAAACCAAGAUUCAUGAAACCCAAAAAAUGAGCAACCGUGCCUGCUUGAUUUUCAUAUUCAUUUAGAAAUCUGACCAAAAAAAAAAAAUCUUCAGUGUACAUGAGCACAAUAACUGGCUUCUUUAGUGAAGUUAGCUGGAGUCACAGAUGAUGCACUCACGAGAACUUGAAUCCAUCCAAUAAAUAGGCCACCUCUUUUUUUUAAAAAAAAAAUGGCACGGGUCAUAUCGCAUAUGACCCAACUACUUUAUUUAUAUGAUGGUUCAUGUCUAAUUGUCGCCCACUAAUCAAAUGCAUAUUCUAAUCACUUGCUGUUAGAUAAUUUUAAGUUUAAAAUAUUACUAUAUUAUGAAUAUUCAAUUAAGUGUAAGAGUAGAGUGCUCCUUUUUCCCCUUUGGAUUUAUCAUGCUUAUAGUUUAUAUGCCCUUGAAUUAUUGCUAGUAAUGCUUUAGAAAAGGACCAUUUAAAGUAAAACCAAUGGUUGGAUUAGUUUCUCAACUAACGAGGAUUCAUUACUAAGUCAAAAAAGGUGAGAUUUAUUUUUUCGUGGAAUCAAAAAAGAGUUGGUUCUUUCUUUAACUUUUCCCUUUGGUGGAAAAGGAUGGCGUUGGAAAGCUAGCUAAGAUUUCCUUGUGCUUUGUGAAAAUGGAAAAGAGAGGUGGGUAAACAGUGUAAGUCAAGCCCCAAAAAAAAGGAUAUUAAAGGAAAUCAAGCACAAUUUUCUUGAUAUGGUUGUCUUAUUUCUGCUGUUGUUUUGUCUUGUUGAAUGGAUAGUGAAGUUGAUUCCAUUUAUAUCUAGGACUUGUAAUUUGUCUCUUUAUUUUGAUUGGUUUACUGUUAUUCUAAACUGAUCUCAUAUCUAUGUGAGGAAUGCAAAUUGAUCAUUGAAUAUAAAGCAACUGAUCGUAUGUGAAUAUGCAUUCACAGUACAUGCAUGGUGCAUGCAAGCAUGCCAAGAGUAUAUGUAUGCCAACCAUCCCUGUAUUUUACAAGUACAGCUCCUUUGAAGUCCAUAAGGGUUACAUGUUAUGUUUGAAGUAUGAAUACAUCUCCUUGAUCUAUUUUAAGUAAAAAUUACGACUACAUGGCUAGCUGUACAGUAGAACUAUCAUUCUUAGUCCUCUCUGUUAGUAUCUUGGUCAACAAAGUUUCCAUUUAUAGUUGUUGGACACUUCCAUAUCAGAUAAGAUAUGUUAAAAGUUUUUGCUGUUUCAAAAAAUGAUGUCCCAUUGCUCAAAUGGCCGAACAAGAUAUGAUACCAACAGUGAUGUGACUGUUGGAUUCCCAGCUAAUACUCUGUGGCAGAAUUUUUGUUUCUCUAUGCCGUUUCUCUUUCAGGUUCCCGUAGUUUCUCAAGUAAAAGUUUAAUUUGAUUUCUUCUUAAGCUUUUUACCAUCCCAAGUCAUUUUCAAGAUAUUGGCAUCAUUACGUACGUUGUUUAGAUUGACUUUUAUAUAAAUAAAGAUCAUCCCUUGGAGCACAACAUUCCAAAUUGGCUUUAAAGGGUGACCUCUUAUAAGUCUCUUCAUUUGAGAGGUGUACAUUAAUUCAGUCCACCGUGAAUCACGGGAAGGCGUCCUUAUGGAUUGGUAGUGAAGCAAUUUUAAGUUAAGAUUGUUCUUCUAAAUGUGUUAGAAUGUGUGGUUUUUUUAAUGUCAAUUGUUAAUGUACCUAAAAAGUCUCUCCUUAGGGGUGUACGUGUGUGUGAUUAAGUACUUACAUAAAUAUAUGUACAUAAAGCUGAAGACAAAGAGAGGUUUAUACUAUGGGAAGGUAUUGGAGAGAGUUAUCAUGCAUUUGCUAUUCUUCUUUGAUAUCUUAACUUGGAUUGUUGCAAUAUACUUAAAUUGUUUAGGUAGCAAUGAUGAUCUUUACUUCAUUUAUGGCAAAGCAUUCACAUGCAUUAGUAGUUUCUCUUUGUAAUUAAGCAUAUGUUCCUAAGAUCUCAAAAGACUAUAAUUAUGCUCAACUACUGAAGCUGAAUUGACAUAUAAUUCUGAAAUUGCACCAAAAAGUAAGUGUAGGAUAGAAAGAUAGCUGGAAUUGGGAAUCUUAACUUCAUUCCUAACAAUUAUUUGUGUAUGAAAUGAAUGGUAGAGAUGAAAAUUGGGGAUAUAGGGGCCUGCUUGAAUAUUUAUAUCUUUUGUAAUGACAAGAACAACACAAUUUCAUGUUAUAUAGAAAAGCAAAUGCAACUCACUUUAGUGGUAGAGCAUGCUUUUGAGUAAGGGAUGUUAUGUUGUUGUCAAUACAGUGAUUGAAUUUAUAUUGGGCCAUCAACCUACGACAAAUCAGGCUUGCGACAAGCUAUGAACAAAAUAUCAUGCUGAAGUUGUUGAAGCUGAAUUGAGAUAUAGUUCUGGAAUUGAACAAAAAACAAAGGUAGGAUUAAUAGCCAAAAGGUUAGGUGGAAUUGAGAAUCUUGGCUUCAUUGUUGAGUAUUAUAACAAUUAUUUGUGUAUGAAAUGAACGGAAGAGAUGAAAAUUAGGAAUAUUGGGGACAAUUUGAAUGUUUUCAAAAGAAAAAACAAUUUAGUGAUAUAUUGUAGAAAAUUAAAUGUGACUUCCUUUAGUGGUAACACAUUUUUGAGUAAGAGAUGUUCUGUUUUUUUUUUUCCCUCAAAUAAUAAUAGUAGCGUGACUUAUGCUGGCCA